rnacentral:rRNA from 1 species
CACAGGUGCUGCAUGGCUGUCGUCAGCUCGUGUCGUGAGAUGUUGGGUUAAGUCCCGCAACGAGCGCAACCCUCGCCCUUAGUUGCCAGCAUUCAGUUGGGCACUCUAAGGGGACUGCCGGUGAUAAGCCGAGAGGAAGGUGGGGAUGACGUCAAGUCCUCAGGGCCCUUACGGGCUGGGCUACACACGUGCUACAAUGGUGGUGACAGUGGGCAGCGAAGGAGCGAUCCCGAGCUAAUCUAAAAAACCCUUAUAGGUUCGGAUUGCACUCUGCAACUCGAGUGCAUGAAGUUGGAAUCG